AUGUCUGAUGUUGGUAGCAACCUUGGUGGCACAGCCGGUGGCGGAGAAGAUGGCAGGGCAAUCUCUGAUGGGUCUGAAGUUCAGAUAGAGGACCAGCAACCAGUCCCCCCACCUGUGCCAACAUCUCGGAUCUCUGUGAAACAUGCAGUUGAAGUCAUUCAAACGUUUGAUGAGUACAAGAGGUGGUUGGUACAAGAAAUCGGGUUUGGUGGAAUGUUGAAGUUGCCCAUGCUGCAGAAGCUUAAUCUCAAAUUCAGUGCAUGGACAAUGAGCAAGGUUAGUGUAUCUCAGCGCGCAAUUAUAUUGUCUGAGUCAAAGAAGCUGACGUUCUGGCCGGAGGAUGUGCACAAAGUAUUUGGGAUACCUUGCGGUCACCGCUCUAUCCGGGGGUGUGAUGGUCACAUAACGCCUGAUGCAAUUCAAUUCAUCAAGAAGACUCUCGGGAUGGACAAAAAGGGUGUUCAUAGCCUGCGAGCCGCGGAAGAGUUCCUACUACGAGAUGUAUCAGAGACAUAUAGCAAGCUUGAGAAGGAUUGUUUUCAAAUUGCUUUCGUCAUUUUUGUCAUGGGACACAUGCUUGCGCCAACCACAAAGCAUGAUUAUGCCACCAUUGAUUUUUGGGGUGCCCUUGCAAACACUGAAACAAUAUCACAAUUCAAUUGGUGUGAGUAUGUUCUUCAGUGCUUGCUAGAAGCUGUUAGACGUCUCAAGAAGGACAUGCUUUCAAACAAUCCAGGCACUAACCUUGUUGGUUGUCACCUUUUUCUUCAGGUGUUCUUCCUGGACAAUAUUGACUUAGGCAUUUUCAAUAAGAAGCAUAAUGUGCUCCCCCGUAUAAGUGAAUUUGAUCAGGACAGCAUUAGGAACAUGAUCACAAUGUCCACUGACAUUGGGAAGAACCCCACAUCACAUUCAAACAACAAGCUACGUGCGGCAGAAGAUGUUUGCUAUGCCUGGCAGUAG
rnacentral:rRNA from 1 species